CCUACGGGUGGCUGCAGUGGGGAAUAUUGCACAAUGGGGGAAACCCUGAUGCAGCGACGCCGCGUGAGUGAAGAAGUAACUCGUUAUGUUAAGCUUCAUUAGUAGGGAAGCAAAUGACGGUACGUGUGUCAGAAUCGCCGGCUAAUUACGUGCCAGCAGCCGCGGUAACACGGAGGGGGCAAGCGUUAUCCGGAUUUAAUGGGUGUAAAGGGAGCUUAGUCGGGAAUGCAAGUUUGGCGUGAAAGGCGGGGGCUCAACCCCCGGACUGCUGUGGAAACUGUACGGCUGGAGUGCAGGAGAGGUAAGUGGAAUUCCUAGUGUAGCGGUGAAAUGCGUAGAUAUUAGGAAGAACACCGGUGGCGAAGGCAGCUUACUGGACUGUAACUGACGUUGAGGCUCGAAAGCGUGGGGAGCGAACAGGAUUAGAUACCCGAGUAGUC
rnacentral:rRNA from 1 species